UUCUGGAAAGGAUGUAGGGGCUCUUUUGGAUGAACAAAUGUAUGUGACUAUGAGGGCUGAUGCAAUCCUCGGGCAAAUAAGCAAAGGACUCAGGAGGGAAUGAUGUCACUUCUUGGUGCGGGAUUGCUGAGGCAGCCUCUGCACUCUGCGUCCAGCGCUGCUGCUCAGCCUUCCAGAAAGGAUGCAGAAAAAUGGAUGAGCAGUACAAAACCAACCGGGAGACUCAUUCCCAGCUCUGGAAAUUCUGCCUCACAAGGAGAGACAGAAAAGGCUCUUAGGAGUCUUUUCUAGCUUAGCCAAAAGAAGGUUAAGUAAUUCCACUGAUAUCUGUAAGCAUCAAUAUGGGGAGAAAAUUUCUGAUGGUAGUCCUCCAUCUGGGAAAGAAGCCCCAGCAGAAAGGAAGACGCUCAGACAAGGUACCAGGAAAACAGUUGACCUUUCACCAGCUGCUCCGCGGGAGCUGUCUGUCCCCAUCUGCAAGUGUGUGUUGAUCCCUCUUUCCCUGGGAGACAAGCUCCCGCUAAUGAAUCAUCUCACCGUUACUGUGGAUCGCUGUAGAACUUGAGUUACCAUAACAACAGAACGCUGCUUCAUUUGCAAAGAGUUAAAAUAUGUUGUUGUUCUUUGGGAAACAAUCAAAAUACAAGUGGGAAGCCAGGAAUUAAUACCCCAGAAUGGCUGCACAAGCAGCAUUUUUCAAACACCUCACUUGUGGCACGAGAGACUGAUGGAUCUUCUCCAGUGUGACAGGCUCAAGAUGAUCCUCGGUUGCUCAGAUCAGAAAGAGAUUAUUUAUCAAUUGGAGAAGAGUGGGGCUGUCAGGCUCCAGAGGUAUUGUGAGCUGUCAGAUCUGCCAGGAAAAAUGAUGCAAUAGCAAAUAAAUUCACCUGCCCUCAAGUGCUUCCGGAGGGCUGCCAGGCGAGCGCCUCCGCGAGCGGCGGCAGUGACCCCUCGCCUUCACCCCGGAGAUCCCUGCUGGGAAAAGGAAAACGCUGAAGGAUCGUUGUGAGGACUUUCUCUCUCCACUGUGCUGGGCUCUUCGCAGCCGCCUUGCAGACCUUUGACCUCUUGGCAGCUCUGCAAAGCACUCUGAUGCAUUCCACAUUUGCUCAGUAAAUAUUUCUUUCAAACAAUAAACUGAGAAACAAGGGAAAGAAUGCAUUGUCUUGAAAAAAAGAGGAGGGGAGAGAAGAGAUGGAGAACGAGAAGACACAGGCCAAAAUCACCGAUCAGACACUAAACACAGAUCAAUGUGGAUGACAUUAGGUCCCAUGAAAAACAGAGCGGUCGACUCUGUACUUAUUAGAUAGCAGAAAGGAAGAUGCCAAAUAAUACUAAUCUGCUAUUUUUUAUAAUUCACCUCCUUUCAUUGGCUUUUUUUCUUCGACUCCCUGUGGAAGUGCACAUGCUCCCUCUGGAGCGGCGUCACUUAUCUUCCCGCGGGCGCAGCGGUGAUCAUUCCUCGCUGAGGCUGACGCGACACCGCCGCGCUGCAAAUCAGCAGCCGCUGUCGUUCGCCAA